GACGAACGCUGGCGGCGUGCUUAACACAUGCAAGUCGAACGGUGAAGCGCCUUCCUUUUUGGUGGGUGUGGAUGAGUGGCGAACGGGUGAGUAACACGUGAGUAACCUGCCCCCUUCUUCUGGAUAACCGCAUGAAAGUGUGGCUAAUACGGGAUAUUCUGGGUCUGUCGCAUGAUGGGUCUGGGAAAGAUAUUGUUUCGGUGGGGGAUGGGCUCGCGGCCUAUCAGCUUGUUGGUGGGGUGAUGGCCUACCAAGGCGGUGACGGGUAGCCGGCCUGAGAGGGUGGACGGUCACACGGGGACUGAGACACGGCCCAGACUCCUACGGGAGGCAGCAGUGGGGAAUAUUGCACAAUGGGCGCGAGCCUGAUGCAGCGACGCCGCGUGAGGGAUGGAGGCCUUCGGGUUGUGAACCUCUUUCGCCAGUGAAGCAGGCCUGCCUCGUUUGUGGGUGGGUUGACGGUAGCUGGAUAAGAAGCGCCGGCUAACUACGUG
rnacentral:rRNA from 1 species